rnacentral:piRNA from 1 species
AAUUUUGGUGGACAUCUUACCUU